CCAGCGACACGGGAGUGGUAAAUGCACCCUCUUGACGUUCCCGGUGUUUGGGUCUUGCCUGUGACGGUGGGAAAAGAAAAUGGCCUUGCUGUGCUACAACCGGGGCUGCGGUCAGCGCUUCGAUCCUCAGACCAAUUCCGAUGACGCUUGCACAUGCCACCCAGGUGUUCCAAUCUUUCACGAUGCAUUAAAGGGUUGGUCUUGAUGUAAGACAACAACAACUGAUUUGUCUGAUUUCUUAAGCAUUGUAGGCUGUGCAAAAGGUAGACAUAAUAGUGAGAAGCCGCCUGAGCCAGUCAAACCUGAAGUCAAGACUACUGAAAAGAAAGAACUACCUGAAUUGAAACCCAAAUUUCAGGAACACAUCAUUCAAGCCCCGAAGCCAGUAGAAGCAGUAAAAAGGCCAAGCCCAGAUGAACCAAUGACAAAUUUGGAACUAAAAAUAUCUGCCUCCCCAAAACAAGCACCUGAUAAACUUAAACUGUCAUCAGGAAAUGAAGAAGAUAAGAAAAGGCUGGGCACUGAUGAAAUUAAGAUUGGGAUUUCAUGUAAGAAUGGAGGGUGUUCAAAGACAUAUCGGGGUCUAGAGAGUCUAGAAGAAGUCUGUGUGUAUCAUUCUGGAGUACCUAUUUUCCACGAGGGGAUGAAAUACUGGAGCUGUUGUAGAAGAAAAACUUCUGAUUUUAAUACAUUCUUAACCCAAGAGGGCUGUACAACAGGGAAACACAUGUGGGCUAAAAAGGAUGCUGGGGAAAAUGUUGUUCCAUGUAGACAUGACUGGCAUCAGACUGAAGGUGAAGUUACCAUUUCAGUAUAUGCUAAAAAUUCACUUCCAGAACUUAGUCAAGUAGAAGUACAUAGCACGUUGUUAAAUGUGCACAGUGGAUUUGAAGGAGAGAAGGAAUUUCAUCAAAAUGUGAAAUUAUGGGAUGUGACUGAUGUAAAGCGAAUUUAUGUAACUAUGACUGCAACAAAGAUUGAGAUCACUAUAAGAAAAGCUGAACCGAUGCAGUGGGCAAGCCUUGAACGGCCUGCAGCCAAACAGCAGCAAAAACAAAAAGACAACACAACAGAUUGAGCGGGACAUGGGAGGAAGGCUAUUACGUAUUUCAGAAUUCUUAAUACUG